rnacentral:snRNA from 1 species
UUCCGGAACCGGGACGUGGCGGU